rnacentral:rRNA from 1 species
UACAUAGGGUGCGAGCGUUAAUCGGAAUUACUGGGCGUAAAGCGUGCGCAGGCGGUUCGUUGUGUCUGAUGUGAAAGCCCCGGGCUCAACCUGGGAAUGGCAUUGGAAACUGGCGAGCUAGAGUGUGGCAGAGGGGGGUGGAAUUCCGCGUGUAGCAGUGAAAUGCGUAGAGAUGCGGAGGAACACCGAUGGCGAAGGCAGCCCCCUGGGCUAGCACUGACGCUCAGGCACGAAAGCGUGGGGAGCAAACAGG